rnacentral:rRNA from 1 species
CGUGUAGGCGGCUUAUUAAGUCAGAUGUGAAAGCCCACGGCUUAACCGUGGAACUGCAUUUGAUACUGAUAGGCUUGAGUAUGAGAAGGGGUAGUGGAAUUCCCAGUGUAGCGGUGAAAUGCGUAGAUAUUGGGAAGAACACCAGUAGCGAAGGCGACUACCUGGCUCAUUACUGACGCUAAUGCGCGAAAGCGCGGGGAGCAAACA